rnacentral:lncRNA from 1 species
AUUACCUUUCUUCUUCAGGCGGCAAAUUGAUCUGUUGAAUUUGAUAAAGGUGACCGUAGUAAAUAAAAAGAUUUUAAUACAACAACUGUUUCUUUUUUAUUAAUUUUUAAAAUAUAAAACACUGUUCUAGGUUCCCGUGCUUUUGUAAGAAUCUCUGCGUAGUCUUUUACACUCGCUUGUGAUCAUCUGUCCAAAAGCAACGGGAACAAUACAAACACUGUGUAGGAUUAGAAGUGGCCGGCCUCCUUAUAACUGGAGAUCUAUGUGUGUGUGCGUGUGUAAAUGUGUUAUCUUAAUCUGGUUAAUACUAACAACUUAAUCUAAUAAUUAAUGGCUAC